rnacentral:lncRNA from 12 species
AUGCCUGAAUUUCAGAUUUUGCAACAUGAGAGUCUGAAAGACAGGCCAACACAGGCGGCUCUUUGGAAACAAGAGACCUGGUACUUCCAACAGCCAAAAAGCUGGCCAAACACCAGGAUGAGGGGAAAGACAUAUCAGGUAGGUUGUGUUGGAUCAGAUGUAUUUUGAUUAUUUGCUAGAAGGUUUCUUUUGACAAAGCAUGAUUUUUUUUUUGGUUGUUCUGUAUUUCUGUUAACCAUACUCUCCUGGAAGAGACUUUGACCAUCUGGAUGUGGUUUUUAUUUCUGUGAGAAGGAACUUUUGUGUCCUUGACAUGCCACUAGUAAAAAUAAAUGCUCAAUGAAAAGAACA